rnacentral:rRNA from 1 species
UGAUGACGAGAUGCUACGGCAUUGAAGCAGUCUAUGUCAGACUUCCAAGAAAAGCUCGCACUGUCGAAAAUAAAUAAUGCCUGUACCAUAACCGACACAGGUGGGUAGGUAGAGUAUACUAAGGGGCGCGAGAUAACUCUCUCUAAGGAACUCGGCAAAAUGACUCCGUAACUUCGGGAGAAGGAGUGCCUUAUUUAUAAGGUUGCAAUAACAAGAUCCAAGCAACUGUUUAUCAAAAACACAGGUCUCCGCUAAGUCGUAAGACGAUGUAUGGGGGCUGACGCCUGCCCAGUGCCAGAAGGUUAAAGAAGUUGGUUAGCAUCUGCGAAGCUGAUAACUGAAGCCCUGGUGAACGGCGGCCGUAACAAUAACGGUCCUAAGGUAGCGAAAUUCCUUGUCGGGUAAGUUCCGACCCGCACGAAAGGCGUAAUGAUUUGGAUACUGUCUCGGAGAGGGGCUCGGUGAAAUAGACUUGUCUGUGAAGAUGCGGACUACCUGCACCUGGACAGAAAGACCCUAUGAAGCUUUACUGUAACUUGAAAUUGAAAUUGGACUUUACUUGCGCAGUAUAGGUGGGAGGCAUUGAGUUUAUUCUUGCGGGAAUUUAGGAGCCAUCAGUGAGAUACCACUCUGGUAAUGUUAGAUUUCUAACUUUGGAUCAUUAUCUGGUCAAAGAACAGUUUCAGGCGGGCAGUUUGACUGGGGCGGUCGCCUCCCAAAUGGUAACGGAGGCGUACAAAGGUUUCCUCUGAACGUGUAGGAAUCGUAUCUAGAGUGUAAAGGCAUAAGGAAGCUUGACUGAGAGACCUACAAGUCGAGCAGGGACGAAAGUCGGUCUUAGUGAUCUGACGGUGCUGAGUGGAAAGGCCGUCACUCAACGGAUAAAAGUUACUCUAAGGAUAACAGGCUGAUCUCCCCCAAGAGUUCACAUCGACGGGGAGGUUUGGCACCUCGAUGUCGGCUCAUCGCAUCCUGGGGCGGUAGUACGUCCCAAGGGUUGGGCUGUUCGCCCAUGAAAGCGGUACGCGAGCUGGGUUCAGAACGUCGUGAGACAGUUCGGUCCAUAUCCGGUGUAGGCGUUAGAAUAUUGAGAGGAGCCUUCUUUAGUACGAGAGGACCGAGAAGGACAUACCUCUGGUGUACCAGUUAUCGUGCCAACGGUAAACGCUGGGUAGCUAUGUAUGGAGAGGAUAACCGCUGAAAGCAUCUAAGUGGGAAGCCCACCUCAAGAUAAG